rnacentral:rRNA from 1 species
CAGCAGCCGCGGUAAUACGCAGGGUGCAAGCGUUAAUCGGAAUUACUGGGCGUAAAGCGUGCGCAGGCGGUUAUUCAAGACAGAUGUGAAAUCCCCGGGCUCAACCUGGGAACUGCAUUUGAAACUACGGAGCUAGAGUGUGUCAGAGGGGGGUGGAAUUCCACGUGUAGCAGUGAAAUGCGUAGAGAUGUGGAGGAACACCAAUGGCGAAGGCAGCCCCCUGGGAUGACACUGACGCUCAUGCACGAAAGCGUGGGGAGCAAACAGGAUUAGAUACCCGCGUAGUCCCUGUCUCUUAUAC